rnacentral:rRNA from 1 species
CCUACGGGCGGCAGCAGUGGGGAAUAUUGGGCAAUGGGCGCAAGCCUGACCCAGCAACGCCGCGUGAAGGAAGAAGGCCCUCGGGUUGUAAACUUCUUUUCUCAGGGACGAAGAAAGUGACGGUACCUGACGAAUAAGCCACGGCUAACUACGUGCCAGCAGCCGCGGUAAUACGUAGGUGGCAAGUGUUAUCCGGAUUUACUGGGGGUAAAGGGCGUGUAGGCGGGAUUGCAAGUCAGAAGUGAAAUUCCAGGGCUCAACCCUGGCCCUGCAUUUGAAACUGUCGUUCUUGAGUGAAGGAGAGGCAGGCGGAAUUCCGGGUGUAGCGGUGGAAUGCGUAGAUAUAAGGAGGAACACCAGUGGCGAAGGCGGCCUGCUGGACAUUAACUGACGCUGAGGCGCGAAAGCGUGGGGAGCAAACAGGAUUAGAUACCCUUGUAGUC